GCAAGGCACUGGGCCCCCAAGCCGUGUUGCGUCGGUUGCUCUUGGGUCUAGGUGAGCAGCAGAGUUUGAGGAUUGGGUCGAACGCAGACAGCGUUGGGUUAAGCGCUCGGGACGCCGCAGUGUGGUAAAUAGAAAGGUGCUUGAAAGCAAAAAAAAUGAACCUCUUUUCAUACAAGGGAAAACGAAUAGAAUGCAUUUUUGAGCAAAAAGAGAGAACAAUAAAAUGUAAGAAACGUAAUCACUGAGUUAGUACCGGUUAGUGUUACGACUUAGGUGUGCAAUUAUAAGCCAAGCAAAGCCAAUCGAAGCCAAGUGCUUUUAGUUGGUGAUUUGUUGUGACGCACUGCGAAGCUGCGAGUUCACCCGCGUAAAAUGGCAAAAAUCAGUCGAAGUUCAGCAAGUUUGCUCUGCGACCAUCUGCUGUAGGCUGAUUUGAAUUGGGCUGACAUCGAAGACCUCUUUCUACCGUUGCCAGAAGCGACUUACCGACGACAUGGCCGGCGGCAGUAUACGUCUCGCAAAGGAUGGCUCGACGUCGGAAGUAUUGAAGAUGACGUCUUUCGGAGAAUGUUCCGUUUUGAGAAGGCAAGUAUUGAUGAAUUGUUAUCUGCUCUCUUAAUUCCCAAUACGAUUGAGAGCAUUCAGGGAGUACAAGUAUCCGGUAAAGAAGCUCUCCUGAUUGCCCUCCGGCGACUCGCAUAUCCUAAUAGGUGGAGCGAUUUAGAAGACGUUUUCGGACGACAUACCUCCGUGAUGUCCAGCAUAGUUGCCUCUGUCUUCGGCCACAUUGAGACGACCUUCGGUCACCUCCUGUCCUUGACAAAUCAUCGUUGGCUGAACCUCGCCAACAUCGCUCUGUUUUCUCAGGCUGUGCAUGAUCGAGGUGCGCCUUUGACUAAUUGCUGCGGUUUCGUCGAUGGAACUGCCCGACCGAUCUGCCGACCAACGUACAACCAGCGAAUGCACUUCUCCGGGCACAAACGGGAGCAUGUUGUCAAAUAUCAGGCCAUUAUGUGUGCCAACAGCAUCGUCUGCGACCUUGCCGGCCCAUAUUUAGGCCACAGGCAUGAUGCAGGAAUACUUCGGGAAAGCGGACUGUAUGAGAAGCUUCUCCAGUUGAUGUAGGGCAAUACAUUCACUAUAUACGGUGAUCCUGCAUACCCCCUCCGCCCUCUGCUCAUGCGGCCAUAUGCUGGUGCACGUCUGAAUGAACAGCAGCAAGAAUUCAAUACUGCCAUGAGCACUGCAAGGCAGUCAGUAGAAUGGGGAUUCGGCAAGACGAUCAGUCUGUUUGCCUUCUUGGACUACAAAAAAAAUCAGAAAGUCUUGCUCCAGAAUGUGCCACAAAUGUACAAAGUAGCAACGAUUUUAACCAACUGCCACACUUGCCUUCAUGGCAACCAAGUGGCAAUGUUCUUUCACCUUUGUCCUCCUCCUCUGAAAGAAUACCUUGUCUUACAUAACAGCUGAGAGAG